AAUCAACGCUGGCGGCGUGCCUCAGACAUGCAAGUCGAACGAUUAAAGCUCCCUUCGGGGAGUGCAUAAAGUGGCGCACGGGUGAGUAACACGUAAGUAAUCUACCCUCGAGUGGGGAAUAACAGUCGGAAACGACUGCUAAUACCGCAUAAUGCAGCGGCACCUUAUGGUGACAGUUGUUAAAGGAGCAAUCCGCUUGAGGAGGAGCUUGCGGCAGAUUAGCUUGUUGGUAAGGUAACGGCUUACCAAGGCUACGAUCUGUAUCCGGCCUGAGAGGGCGGUCGGACACACUGACACUGAAUAACGGGUCAGACUCCUACGGGAGGCAGCAGUCGGGAAUUUUGGGCAAUGGGCGAAAGCCUGACCCAGCAACGCCGCGUGAAGGAUGAAGUAUUUCGGUAUGUAAACUUCGAAAGAAUGGGAAGAAUAAAUGACGGUACCAUUUAUAAGCUCCGGCUAACUACGUGCCAGCCGCCGCCGUAACAC
rnacentral:rRNA from 1 species